GUCGUGUUGGAGCCUCACCAUGACGUCUCAUGUUUCCUUCUCACCAUAUACUAUCAUCUUUAGCGUGACGUAAUGUAGUCGUAGAGGUGUUGCUGCUAUUUUCCACUUGGACUCUCUUCCUCGGCUUUGCUGCAUUUGAAUUCGUCCAAGGACUAGCCAUAUCUUCACUUUAUAUGACUUGUUUAUAUUCUGCCUUUAGUUGAGCAGCUUUAUCCAAAUAAACUUUCUUCUCCUAAAUGGUCAGAGAACACGAACCAUAGUAAGAAGACAGUAAAC